rnacentral:rRNA from 1 species
CCUGCGCAAGGGAUCGUUUGGUUCUAUGUGCGAUGAAGGUCGGAGCAGUAUCUGAUAAUGUAGAAUGAUUGUAAUAAUUGUUCUAUGUGACUGAAUUGAACAGUGAUGUUCGGGUACUCCUUUGAAUUAAGCAUAUGAGUAAAGGAAGGAAAAGAAACUAACUAGGAUUCUCUUAUUAGUGGCGAAUGAACAGAGAAUAGCCCAAGUGUAAUCAAUAAUAAAUAAUUAUUGAGAUGUCUAGUAUAUUGACGUGAAAACAAUGGAAAGUGUUGCCGUAGAGAGUUAUAGCCUCGUAGCGUCUAAAUUUAAAAAGGGAGUAGUUGUGCUCGGUAAUGCACAAUGAAUAGGUGGUAGUGUCCAUCUAAGGCUAAAUAUGACAUAGAGACCGAUAGUGAAUAAGUAGAGUGAUCGAAUAUGGAAUAGAUUGAAAAAGUGAAAUUGCGCAGGGACUCGAGUGAUUCGAGACCGUCUUGAAACAC